rnacentral:rRNA from 1 species
CCGACUCCUACGGGAGGCAGCAGUAGGGAAUCUUCGGCAAUGGACGAAAGUCUGACCGAGCAACGCCGCGUGAGUGAAGAAGGUUUUCGGAUCGUAAGACUCUGUUGGUAGAGAAGAACGUUGGUGAGAGUGGAAAGCUCAUCAAGUGACGGUAACUACCCAGAAAGGGACGGCUAACUACGUGCCAGCAGCCGCGGUAAUACGUAGGUCCCGAGCGUUGUCCGGAUUUAUUGGGCGUAAAGCGAGCGCAGGUGGUUUAUUAAGUCUGGUGUAAAAGGCAGUGGCUCAACCAUUGUAUGCAUUGGAAACUGGUAGACUUGAGUGCAGGAGAGGAGAGUGGAAUUCCAUGUGUAGCGGUGAAGUGCGUAGAUAUAUGGAGGAACACCGGUGGCGAAAGCGGCUCUCUGGCCUGUAACUGACACUGAGGCUCGAAAGCGUGGGGAGCAAACAGGAUUAGAUACCCUGGUGGUCCACGCCGUAAACGAUGAGUGCUAGAUGUAGGGAGCUAUAAGUUCUCUGUAUCGCAGCUAACGCAAUAAGCACUCCGCCUGGGGAGUACGACCGCAAGGUUGAAACUCAAAGGAAUUGACGGGGGCCCGCACAG